rnacentral:lncRNA from 1 species
GGUGCGUGGGGGGCAGGUCUGGGUGGGGAGAGGGUGGAUGGCCCCGCGGGCACUUUGACCCCAAGUGGGCAGCCCCGGCCCGCUCCUGGCUUUGGCACUCGCUGCCCAGCUUCCCUUGGCCAAGCUCCCCUGGCGAGGGGGUGAGCUGAGGCCCAGAGUAUUUGGGAAGGAGGAAGGAAGGAGAAGCCCCCUUCCCCCUUGGCUGCUGGAAAGGAUUUGUCUUUCUUGUCUGUAAGCCCUUGCACCCUGGUCCUGUGCUGUUCAGUGGAGGAAACCGUGGUUACCCAGGUCCUGUCAAAAAGUGCACGUCUCGUCCAAUAAAUCACGCUGCAAUUGGUGUCCAUCCCUGAGUUGCUGGGGUCAGGGUCCUUUCCAGGCGCUGAGCAGAGUCCUAGGGCCUGACCGUGUGUUCUUGCUCCCAGCACCCCCUGCGUCAACAUGGGGGGGGGUAGGAGGGAGAAGGAGGAUGUUUAUUCUGGACUCGGAAUCAGGGUGGAGCCUGACUUAAAUCCAUUCUCCCACCUGCUUGCCUGUCACCAUUGAGUUCUGGGGGCACCACAGUCCUGGACCCUCCCCGGCUGUGGCAGUCAGGUCCUUGGCACACGCAGGUGGGCUGCUGUGGGUAGGAGAGCCUGAGGAAGACCCUGGGCUUAUGUUUGGGACAGGGACCUUGUCAUUGCCUCUUUUUUCAAACUCAGAAGAUGGAAGGCUGGUGGGGCCGAGGCAGGUCUCCCACGAAACCUGGCUGCCACCUUGGAUGACAAUUCCCUGAGGGGUUUCCCCUCCCUCCUCCCAAUUCUGGACCUAAAGCCAAUGGUAGGAAGGAGACAGGAGCAGGGGGAGCAGAGGGGUGUCAAGCAGGAUGGGAGACGAAUGCGAGCCCCAGUCUCGCCUUCCUUGAGACUCGGGAAGGGCCGGGGAGGAUUGAAGGAAACCCACUGAGCCAGGUGUGGUUUGGAGUGACGUUUAAUGUGACAGCCACAGAAGAGUUACGUUCACAAACAAGCAGGGCUUCCCAUCCAGCCGUCCAGCCCGAGCAGGGACAGGGCUACACAGGCAGUACGGCCCAGGCACUUCCUGGGACCUAACCGGAAGAAGUGGCUCUGCCCCCUGUCCCAGCGUAAGGUGGGGGCCACAACCCAGCUGGGAAGAAGUCGGGCCUCCCACUCUCCCCUCGGCCCCCCGCCCCACCCCAGCCACUUGGCCCAACCCUGCGCAGGGUAAUUGGGUCGGGAGG